rnacentral:rRNA from 1 species
UACGUAGGGUGCAAGCGUUGUCCGGAAUUAUUGGGCGUAAAGAGCUCGUAGGCGGUCUGUCGCGUCUGCUGUGAAAACUCGGGGCUUAACCCCGGGCCUGCAGUGGGUACGGGCAGACUAGAGUGCGGUAGGGGAGACUGGAAUUCCUGGUGUAGCGGUGAAAUGCGCAGAUAUCAGGAGGAACACCGGUGGCGAAGGCGGGUCUCUGGGCCGUAACUGACGCUGAGGCGCGACAGCGUGGGGAGCAAACAGG